GUUUUGGUCUAGUAUUUCUUCAAUAGGCUCCCUCUUCUCCCUGUGGAAUGGUCAUAUAUGUCCUGUGUCAUAGUAUAUCAGAAUCAUUAGGGAGGAGUGCCCACUUCAAAUUUGGAUGUACAACUCUCAGAUGCUUCUCCAACACCAUCUCUGCCUACAUGCCUCUUAUGUUUCCUGCCAUAAUGAUAAUGCACUACACUUCCUAAACUGUAAGCAAGCUCCAAUUAAAUGUUUUCCUUUAUAAGA